UACGAAGGGGGCUAGCGUUGCUCGGAUUUACUGGGCGUAAAGGGCGCGUAGGCGGAUGUUUAAGUCGGGGGUGAAAGCCCGGGGCUCAACCUCGGAAUUGCCUUCGAUACUGGACAUCUUGAGUACGGGAGAGGUGAGUGGAACUCCGAGUGUAGAGGUGAAAUUCGUAGAUAUUGGGAAGAACACCGGUGGCGAAGGCGGCUCACUGGCUCGUAACUGACGCUCAUGCACGACAGCGUGGGGAUCAAACAGG
rnacentral:rRNA from 1 species